rnacentral:lncRNA from 1 species
UUUAAAACAUAUGAUAUCAUGGAAUGCAUCACAGCACAAACAUUUCACAUCAAGGAUGAACUUGUCACCACUUAGCCCUCCAUACAGUCUAAUCAUGCCAGGGGCGUAGUGCAGGCACACCUGGACUUCCAUAGCAUAACAUACAUAUCCAUUCAUGCCGGGGGCGUAGUGCAGGCUCACCCGGACUUCCAUAGUCUAUCAUGUCUUAC